rnacentral:rRNA from 1 species
UGGAUCCAGACUUUGAUCCUGGCUCAGGAUGAACGCUAGCUACAGGCUUAACACAUGCAAGUCGAGGGGAAACGACAUCGAAAGCUUGCUUUUGAUGGGCGUCGACCGGCGCACGGGUGAGUAACGCGUAUCCAACCUGCCCACCACUUGGGGAUAACCUUGCGAAAGUAAGACUAAUACCCAAUGACGUCUCUAGAAGACAUCUGAAAGAGAUUAAAGAUUUAUCGGUGAUGGAUGGGGAUGCGUCUGAUUAGCUUGUUGGCGGGGUAACGGCCCACCAAGGCUACGAUCAGUAGGGGUUCUGAGAGGAAGGUCCCCCACAUUGGAACUGAGACACGGUCCAAACUCCUACGGGAGGCAGCAGUGAGGAAUAUUGGUCAAUGGACGAGAGUCUGAACCAGCCAAGUAGCGUGCAGGAUGACGGCCCUAUGGGUUGUAAACUGCUUUUAUAAGGGAAUAAAGUGAGUCUCGUGAGACUUUUUGCAUGUACCUUAUGAAUAAGGACCGGCUAAUUCCGUGCCAGCAGCCGCGGUAAUACGGAAGGUCCGGGCGUUAUCCGGAUUUAUUGGGUUUAAAGGGAGCGUAGGCCGGAGAUUAAGCGUGUUGUGAAAUGUAGAUGCUCAACAUCUGCACUGCAGCGCGAACUGGUUUCCUUGAGUACACACAAAGUGGGCGGAAUUCGUGGUGUAGCGGUGAAAUGCUUAGAUAUCACGAAGAACUCCGAUUGCGAAGGCAGCUCACUGGAGCGCAACUGACGCUGAAGCUCGAAAGUGCGGGUAUCGAACAGGAUUAGAUACCCUGGUAGUCCGCACGGUAAACGAUGGAUGCCCGCUGUUGGUCUGAAUAGGUCAGCGGCCAAGCGAAAGCAUUAAGCAUCCCACCUGGGGAGUACGCCGGCAACGGUGCAACUCAAAGGAAUUGACGGA